AUCAACUCAAAUUUUCUUUUCAAAUUUCGAGUUCGAGUGGAGUUGAAUUUUUGAAUUCAAAUAACUCGAAUAAUUCAAACAAAUCGAAUACAAACUAUAUAAUUUUAAAUUUUAAAUUUUAAAUUUAUAUUCCCCACUCUCUAGCCCAAAUCCUUUUACAAUACUCAUUUCCCCCAAAGCUCAAACCUACCUUAUUUCCCCCUUCCCCCCCAAAAGCUCAUCUGCCAUCUUCCCAAUUUCCCCAAAAGUCAAGAUUCCAUCAAUAAUUUUCUUCUCCAAUUCAAACUUGAAACUCCCAAUCCCCAAAUACCAAAAAUUCUUCUUUAAAUAAACCCCAAAUUAAACCCCAAAUCAAUUCUUCUCCUCUUCUUCUUCUUUAAAAAAUCUUACAUUAAAC
rnacentral:lncRNA from 1 species